CCUGCUGAGUUAAAAUUUAGCACUGCUCCCACCCCUCCUCAUUUAUGUCAAGUCACGCUGGAAAGGCGCACAGGAUAAAUAAUCCCCUGAACGUUUCUCGGAAAUCAGACAAUUUUAGGAAAGCGGCAUUCAGUUUAAUUUUCAGUUUUCCAGCAUAAAAGCAGCGACGCUCUCUCCACAAUCUCGACAGACUCCUAGUCGACAGUCAGAGUGAGCCUCAAGUGACAAACCAGCUGGCACCAUACAAAGGCAACAUGGCAGCUGGGUACACAUAUAAAGAUUUUAAACUGGUCAUCCAUGAUCCUUUCGUGAAGUGUUCUCUUUGUGAUUAUGUCACACUGCCCUGUCACCUCUCACCUGAAACCAGUGCUGUUGCCAUGGAGAUCAGGUGGUUUAAGGGCACAGACUGUAUCUACCUGUAUAAGAAUGGCCAUGUGACUGUGAGGGAGGACUAUGAGGGCCGAGUGAGUGUGAACACCCUGGAGCUGCAGAGAGGAGACGCGUCUCUGACACUGAGAGUGAGCAGAGAGGAAGAUAAAGGACUGUACACAUGCCAGGUCAUCAGUGGAGAACACAAGGAGGAGGGAAGAGUCCGUUUGCUGCCAAGAAGUAAGUUGUUUCUGUUUCUCUGCUAUAAAGAGCUCAGUGGUGUCAUUCAUGCUGCUCAGACUUCCAUACUGUACACUUACACCCUCUCUCGUCUUCUGUUUUAAAACGGACACACACACACACACACAC